rnacentral:lncRNA from 1 species
UCAAUUCCCAGAGUUUAAUAUUACAACUAAAUUUUCUCUUCUUCACUUUCAUAGUGUAACGUUUUUGAUAAAAACGUUGGCAUCGCCAAAUUAUAACUGUCUAAUUUCGAAACAUAUCAAAAGCUUUCUUGGGCUUCCACCUAGAAGAGCCAAUAAUUUUAGACCCAAAGCAAAUCCAAUAACUCCUUCUUCCAUGGGCUUGCUCUCCUACUACUUACAAAGGUCGAGCCUUGCCCAUUGUAACCUUUGUAACUUAUUAAUUUCAUUGUAUGUGCAAUGAGAUUGAGGGUUGUAGCUUAAGUGGUUAACAAUAUUUACUCAUGUAUUCGAAGUUCUAGAUUUAAUUCCCCUCUUUUCCAAUACCAUUUUUAUCAAAAUGACUUCAUCGUAGCUUAGCCAAAAAAGCAUUAAACUUCCCAUUAAGCCGAAUUACCAUGCUAUAAUGCUUGUUCACCUUCUGUUUUAUCAAAAGCUGGAAAUCUGACUUCCUAUUGUUUUUUUUCUUUUGUCAAUUUUGUUUUUCGAUAGGUUUCCGGAGUUCAAAUUAGCGAUGUGACAUACGAAGACAUACACGGUACAUCAGCAACAGAAGUUGCAGUAAAAUUUGAUUGCAGUCCCAAGCACCCUUGCAGCGAGAUCAAAUUGGAGGAUGUGAAGCUUACUUACAAGAACCAAGCAGCUGAGUCUUCAUGUAGCCAUGCAGAUGGAACAACUGAGGGUGUGGUUCAGCCUACAAGUUGUUUGUAGAGUGGAAAAAUAUGAACUGCUUGUAGAAGUAUUGAAAUCCAAAAGUUUGCCCUCCAGUACUAAGGACAAAUGAAAAGUGAAUUAUACGAUUUAUAUAGGAAGAAUGAGCUUGUGUUGUUGGCAGCCUACUUGGGCUUCCCUUGAGCCUGGCCGUUCAAUUAGUUUAGUUUGUUCAAACUCGUCCACUUCGAUGGGUGUUUAUGUUAUGAAUUGUUGUAAGAUUAUGUUCGGGAUACGUUAAAUUUAUAAGAUUAAAUUUUAUGUUGAUGGCUAAUGUGGCAUUUGACAUAGGAUUCAAUAUUCUAUCAAUUUAAUUCACAAUUUUAUUAUAAUCGAAGCACACAUUAAAUAGUAAAAAUUUGGUUCAAGAAACAAAAGGAUUUGAAGUCUCGCAUGAACUUUUUGGUUGGAGCAUUUUCUCAUGUCAAAUUUUACCCGUUAAAAAUUUAUUAUGAUAUUUUAACAUUUCGGUUGGAGUAUUUUUUUCAUGUCAAAUUUGACCCGUUAAAAAUUUACUAUGGUAUUUUAGCAUUUCGGUUGGAGAUGUAUAAAUCUUAAAAAUGCAUUCAAGAUGCAUUUUUGUUUCUUAAGCUUUGAGCUUUAGGUAAUUAACUUUAAAUGUUGUUGGGCACCUUGCACUAGUUGAUUAAAGAAAAAUAGACCCGAAGCAAGAUUCCUUGUAGUUGCCAAUUCGAAGUUUUCUUUAUCGCUACAUACUUACUGGUCUACAAGUUCUCUCUCUAAUACAUAAUUUGACAUAAAUAAAUACAGUGAAGAGUGCAUUGACUAAACAGAAAAAAAAACAAAAAAAGCAGCACGUAAGCAAUUACGUGCAUUUGGUGUAAAAGCUAAAGGCCUCUGAUUUAUGUAAGCAGUUACGGUAAUCAUAUUAUAUUAUAUGUAUCUUAGUUCUGCAAUUGUAACAGGAAUAAUAUUGUUUUGUUAUCCCCAAUCAAUAAUACAAUGAUACGUGAAAAAGUUAUUUAACAUGUCAUUGCGUUAUUAGCUGGGGAUAGCAAACAGUGCUAUCCCCAUUACAUGAAAGUCUUUCUCCUGCAUAUCCUAUUAUACUAUUAUAAAACUCAAUUGGUCAAUCAUAGUGAAAAAAAUAUAGUGAAAGAAAAAAGAAGAAGAAGAAAAUAUCAAUUAAGCCCCUCUUAUAUUGAACACUUCAAUAAUAAAAUAAAAAUUGCAUAUGGAGUAAAGUCAGUCAGUUAAGAUAGUAUGCUAGUUCUUUUGCACCUGAGUUCAAUUUCCUUCCCCGAACAUUUUCAAAUAAAUAAUAAUAAAAUAAAAUGUGAAUUUGAUAGUCAAUGUCGUAGUAAAAUAUGGUUUUUUAGUAUCAAUAUUAAGGAAAGCCAUUGUUCUUUCUAGCAGAAUGCCCGCCACUGCUAGAGAGAGAGAGAGAGAGAGAGCGGAAUGGCAGAAGUGAGUAACAAGCAGGUGAUACCGAGGGAGUAUGUCACUGGCUUUCCCAAAGAGUCAGACUUGUACGUGAAUAGCACUGCUACUAUCAAGUUGAAGCUUUCUGAGGCCCCCGAGCAUGAGGGUUCUUCAAAGAAACUAGUUCUAGUGAAGAAUCUUUACUUGUCCUGCGAUCCCUACCAACGACUAUUUAUGGAAAGAAUCGAAGGCCUCAGCAGCCAAUCCACUUCCUCCUAUACGCCUGGUUCUGUAAGCAAAACCCAUCAUAUAUCUUUUCCUUUCAAUUUCUGUAAACAUAUAUACCAAAUGUUAUGCUCAAAUAUAUAUUAAUUGUUAAACAUUGUUCCCUUAAAAAAAACAAUUUAUUGCAAAAUUGGAAUAUACAAGAGGUAACUCUGCACAAAUAUUAAUGACAAGAUGAGGUGGCUAAAAGCACUGUUAAUGUCUAUCAGCGCGCAAUGAGCACGAAUAACUGUGAUUAUUAAGUAGUAGGAGCUGAUAGUUGUUUUUGUUACCACAUCCUAUGCCACAAAUAUUAAUUAUUACCAAUUAUUCUUCUAGUAAUGCUUGUUUUUUUGUUGAUGGCAACAUUGGGAGGAGGGAAUCAAAUACAAGUUUGAUCAUAUGAUUAAUUUAAUUUUGUUGGUGUAAACGUGCAGCCAAUAUACGGGUAUGGAGUGGCUAAAGUUUUGGACUCUGGGCACCCAGAUUUGAAGGCAGGUGACUUAGUUUGGGGGACUACCUAUUGGGAAGAGUACAGCCGAAUCCCUGAACCCGAAGGCCUGAUCAAAAUCCAGCACACUGAUGUACCUCUAUCCUAUUAUACUGGAAUUCUUGGUAACAAGUCAAACCUAUUUUAGAUCAUGAUGAUAUGUGUUGGUUUAGAUACGUAAGUGUAUUUUUUGUAAUUUCAUUUCAGGUAUGCCUGGUUUGACCGCUUAUGUUGGUUUCUAUGAAAUUUGUUCUCCUAAGAAAGGAGAACAUGUCUUCAUUUCAGCAGCAGCUGGUGCUGUUGGUCAGCUUGUUGGACAAUUUGCAAAAUUAAUGGGUUGUUAUGUUGUUGGAAGUGCUGGCAGUAAGGAAAAGGUACGAACUUGAGAAAUCUUUGAACUUCAAAUUAAUAUUAUCUACACCAUUUUUUCUUGUUUGGGUUGUAUUUUGCUGUUGUUAUUUGGGCCAACUUUGGUGUUGGUUUGGUUUGGGGCCUCUGUUUGUGCGCUGGGACUACAAUGAGUGGAAAGUUAUAAGGGGUAAGUUAUAAGGGGUUCACUUUAUAGCCAUCAGAUCAAUCCAAGGGCUGGGGAGAAUUGAGAUAAAGUUUCACAAUUGGGUAGGUGAGGAACCCAAACCCGAAUUGAAUAUCCAGCACGUCCAAAAAGAAGAAGAAGAGGGAAACACGUUCGAAAAAGAAGAAGAAGAGGCAAGUUCGAAGUUUGAACAGAAAGAACUCAUCUCUCUAAAACCCAGAGGUCUGAGAUACCCAAUGAAGGCAACGGCUAACGACAGUUGAAGGCAACGAUUCGCCACUCCGUUCUCCAGACCCUGAAAAAGUAUUUAUUUGGAGUAGAAGGGGCAAAGGUGUGGAUUCCAAAUCAAUGAAGGGGCGAAGCAGUGGAAGGGGAAGGGGAGAAGCUAUAAUCGUUGGAAGUGGUAGGUUCCAUUUGUGGAGCAAAGAAACAGAAAGACCCCACACAGACACCUUGCAAUAACCAGCAUUUGGUGAGUAAUUUAUGGAAUUUGAGUUUAGGGUUAGAGUAAUGGUUUUCCUCAAUUUGUAGCAUAAAUUUUGUUGGAUUUGGCAUCUCUUCGUUGUGCUUGAGUUGCAUGUUAAUUUUUGCUUAGGUAUAUGUUAAAAAAAGAAUGAAAAUCAAGUCAAUAACAAGUGAAUAACAUGUCAAUAAUGAUAUGAAUAAGAUAAUGGUGUUGAAUUGGAGGAGGCCCUCAAAACCUUCCACAUUUGAAGCAGUGCAUAGUGCAGAUUAAGAAGAGGCGGUAGAAUAUAUAUAUAUAUAUAUAUAUAUAUAUUUUAUGAAGUAAAUAUGAUUUCCUUUGUUACUAAAUUUGCCUGAGAAACAUUUGAACAGAUAAUAAUAAACUCAUGAAUAGAAGUGCAAAGCAUUUGAUGAGUAAUUUAAGGAAUUUGAGUUUAGGGUUAGAGUAAUGGUUUUCCCCAAUUUGUACCAUCAAUGUUGUUGGAUUUGGCAUCUCUUAUUUGUGCUUCAAUUGCAUGUUAAUUUUUGCUUGGGUAUAUGUUAAAAAACGAAUGAAAAUAGAGUCAAUCACAUGUCAAUAACAUCUCAAUAACAUGUCAAUAACAUGUUAGUAAUGAUAUGAAUAAGAUAAUGGUGUUAAAUUGGAGGAGGCGCUCAAAACCUUCCACAUUUGAAGCAGUGCAGAGUGAAGAGUACCUCUCUGGCCCUAGAAUUUAUAUAUUUUGUGAAAUAAAUAUGAUUUCAUUUGUUACUAAAUUUGCCUAUGAGAAAUGAGAACAGAUAAUAAUAAACUCAUGAAUAAAAGUGCAAAGCAUUUGAAAUGAAGGUUGAUCUAUGACGAUUGUGGGUGACUGAAGAAAAAGCUAGAAAGAAAGAAGGAUGUGGCAAUUGCUUAGCAAGCAGAUAGCAGAGUAGAUGCUUUGCUUUGCUUCCUUCCACUAUAUUUCUUAUUUAUUUAUUUUGUGUUGUGUAUGAGAUGACAAUAAUUGUCAUGUGUGUGAAGUGCAGAACUUGCCUACAUUGCACUCACACGAGUAUGGAUCCAUAAAUAAAACACGUGAAAUUGUUUGUAAUUCACAUAAUCAUUGCAUUAACAGGUAUUUGCACAAAAUUUGUCAUAUUGCUUUGAUGAUGUUAAAGCCUAUGAUCAGUAAUCCGUAUGCUCAUGUACUUUGUAAAAUUUGUAAUGUGCCUGGUUGACUAGUUGUGAUUGUGCAAAUACGUGGCAGUAUAUGUGUUCACGUUAUUUCACAUUGUAUUUGAGGAAAUGGGAUCCAACGUGGAGCUGGUAUGGCCAGAGGCAGAGGCAUAUUCGUCACGGGUGAACAACUGCUCACAUGCAAAUUCAUCUCUAGCUGCAAUUCGAGCGAAGUUGAGUGCGGAACAAUUAGAACAAUUCAAGACAUCAUGCUUUGGCCAUCUUCUGAAUAUAGAUAAGAUUCAGUUUAGCGGGCAGAUUGUGCAUGGGGCUGUGUUGCGUAGAGUAGCGGGGCAGGGUGUGAAAGACUUGGAUGGACUGAGUUUCUUAUUAGGGUGUGACGUUGCUCAGUUCACUCGUCAGGAUUUCUGUUUGAUCACAGGGCUUCGUUUUGGGGAAGUGCCUGAAGUUUCCAGUGGAGAGAGUGAUGUAAUCAGACUUCAGAAAAGAUAUUUUAUAGACGAAGGAAUUACAUGCAAUGCUUUAGAAGAAGCAUUUAUGGGGUGCACAGAGGAAGAUGACAUCUACAAGCUAGCUCUUGUUUACUUUGCUGAGUUAGUGGUUUUGGGAAGGGACAAACAUUUGAACAUCAAUCUAAAUUACCUGACCCUUGUAGAGGACUUGGAUGCGUUCAACAGGUAUCCGUGGGGUUCGGUGUCCUUUGACAAAACCCAAGACAGUCUAUUUUCUGCACCAACAAAGUAUGUGAAAAGCUUGCAAAAUGAAGAGGGAAGAGGGAAGGGGAAAAGUAAGGUAACGGGAACAAGCCGGAGAAAUGAGAAGGGCAGGAAGGAUAAGCAUGGUGAAGCGCAAAGGAGUGGCUGGAGUUUUAAAGGUUUCACGUAUGCUUUCCAGGUACAUGGUAAUAAUGUUCAUGUGAGUUAUGUUUUGUUUUUCUUUAAAACAUAAAUAAUGACUUUUGUCCUGUGAAUUGUGUAGAUUUGGGUAUAUGAAUUAAUUCCUAGAAUGGCGGACCUGAAUUACUGCAAGGUUGUUGAUCCGACCGCUGUCCCGCGUAUUUUGCGAUGGAGAACUACUACGUCUGUUCCAGAGAUGAGAAAGUUGAACAAUUAUUUUUUCCAGAGCAAAGAGGUUUGGUUUGCAGCCCUUGGAACUAUUGAUAAGAUUGAAUGAAAUUUUGAAGUAGAAUGAUUUAAUAUGACUGUGGUUUGUAUUCUGAAACAGUCAGUUCAGUUGCGGGCGCUAUGUCCGAGUGAAGAGGAAAUGAGACAGCCAUAUUGGAGUUGGCCACAGGAUCGCCCUGAUGAGACAGCCAUAUUGGAGUUGGCCACAGGAUCGCCCUGCUGUUGUCUCGGCAGAGUCAAUUCCUUCUUUAUGUGGUGAUCUUGAUCAGUUGAACAAGGUGGUAAGCUUGUUGAGGUCCGAGUUGUUUCAAGUAAAGCGGGAAAAAGACGUCCUUCACUUAAAGGUCAUACGGAUGGAAAAACUGUUGGACCAAUGUUUAGGUCCUCAGUUUGAGCAGGAAGUAAGGAGGGACCUAGCUUUACUGAAACAGAGGACGAAGCGUUGUGUCGUCUCACAUCUAUUUAGGGGAUAUCGGGAAUUGGAUGACAUUCAAUGGGAUGAAGGGCCAAGUAACAGAAAUGAGGGAGAGGAAAAGGAAGAUGAAGGGAUUGAAGGGGGUGAAGGGCCAAGUAAUAGAAAUGAGGGAGAGGAAAAGGAAGAGGAGGGGAUUGAAGGAGAGGAAAAGGAAGAGGAGGGGAUUGAAGGGGGUGAAGUGCAAGGAAUACCAAGUGAGGUAGAGGAAGGGCAAAGGAAAAGAAGUGAAGGAGAGCAAGUGCAAGUAAAAAGUAGCAAAGGAGAGGAAGCCCAAAGACAGAGCAGUGAGGGAGAGGAAGUGAAAAGAAAAAGCAGUAAGGGAGAGAAACUGCAAAGGAAAAAAAGGGAGGGCAAGGAAGUGAAAACACAAAGAAGUGAGGAAAAGGAAGUGCAAAGAAACCAAUGUGAGAAAGAAGAUAAUGAAGUUAUGUUGCUUGGGGAUGACAUUGGCGAGAGCACGGAGGGGACACUGCUUGAGUUUACUGUCGGGGACAUUGAUUUGGAUCAACCUACAGCUGUGCUAUCUCAGUUGAACGUGUGGUUGAAUGAUAAAGGUAAAGCUGUGGCACAAGGGGUCCAAUUACGGAAAAGGAAGAGGAUCAUUCCUAUGUGGAAGAUCAUUGAAGGCAUUGAAUUGGUUCCAAAAACUGGGGCACAGACAACCGGACUGAAGAUGUUAGACCCAAUGAAGGCGAUUCCGCAUGAUGAUCUGGUGAAUUUGCUGAAACUUUGUUGGGAAUGGCGCCAGGACCCAAAGUAAGUCCCUUGCAAUUAUAAGAUAGAAGCACGACUGUAUAUAAUUUUUAAUAUACAGUGUUCUAAAACUGUUUUAUAUUCAUAGUUUAGUGAUGCAAUUUGGCAACGUGGAAGCUGAGAUUGAAUUCUUCGCUUCCCUCGUGAAAGCUGAUGGUUGGCUGAAAGGAGAUGUAAGUGUAAUUGAUUAUGCAUUUGUUUUAAUGUAUAUAGAUUAUGAGAUUGACAAGAACAACAUGUUGCAGCACAUUGAGUUGGGGUUGUAUCUCAUCCGGAAGCGACAACAACAGUUUGAGGAAGUAGAAAUAGCGGACUGGACAACGACAGAUGUUUUUUUUAUGGUAUGUCAUCGGCCUUGACCAAGUGCCGUUAAUAAUUACACAUUUUCCAUACAGACAAUAGUGGAGGUGUUUAACCAUUGAUUGUUUUGUAUUUCACAGAAUCACAUUCGAACUUGCUUUGCGGAUAAUAAAAGAAAAAAACAGCAGCUUGGGUGGAAAAUCAGAAAAAGUUUACUAAACGUUGUAAAUGGGAAGGUUCCUCCGUGUGGGAUGGAUUGGCAGAACGUCUAUACGGUGUAUACCCCAGUUAUGUUGACGAAGUACAAGCAUUGGGUGGCUGUAAUGAUUGAUCUGGUAUUGUGUGAAAUCAAAGUGUACGAUUCAAAGGUUUCACUAAUUCCAGAUGACAUCGUAAAGGAAGAACUCGCCCCGCUAUCAAUUAUGCUUCCAAAUCUUCUCAACACCAUCGACUUUUAUGAAGAAGGUGUUUAUGCAAACAAUUGCAUGCGAGAUUGGUGGUGUCCGUGGCCAAUAGAGCGUGUGGAUGUUCCACAACAGUCUAAUGAGUAAGCACAACUUGCAAUUUAAUUUUAUUACUUUCAAUUGUCAAUUACGUUAGAAUGUCAUUAGUUGAAUUGAUCGAGUUCUUGUUUUGCUUCAGAGGCGAUUGUGGCAUGUUUGUGUUAAAGUACAUUGAGCUUAUCAGCGCUCAGCUUUCGUUAGCUAUUUGCACCUCGCACAACAUGCCUUUUUUUCGGUUGAAAUUGGCUGCGGAGAUAACAAGGGGAGAUGCUUACUUCCCAUGAUAUUGGUUGAAGAUGACAAAUGGUACAUGAGAAGGUUUUGGGAAUGUCCAUUCUCAAACUAAUGUAAAUACACAAUAGAGACGUACGUGUCCUUUUCGAAUUCUACCGCUAACUCCUUCAUGACAUUUACAUGUUUGUUAACCAAACUGCAUUGAAUUGGAAUUUUAAGACUGCAUAUGUUAAUUGGGAUUUGAAGAUGGCUUUUUAAGUGUAUUACACCAUUGCAAAGUGAUAUGUCAUUGUUGAUGCAAGCCACCAUUAUUCGCAAUGAGUUGCAUCAUAAUAGGUGUGUAAACAUGCGAAAGGUUUUCGGCAGCUCAGUAGCAUAAAAGUAGAAACAAUUACAAUAUACACAAAAUGAACAACAAUUCACUUGCGUUUGGACAAGCAAUACAGACACAACAGACAAACAAUAUACACAAAAUUGGCCUGCCAUAUACAGACAUACACACAGUAGACAUGCAAUAUACACACAGUAGACAUGCAAUAUACACACAAUAGACAUGCAAUAUACACACAAUACACAUGCAAUAUACACACAAUACUCCCUUAACACACACAAUAGACAUGCCCUUGCCCACAAUAAUGAUGCAAUAUACUUCAGUCCCCAAGUACACCAACCAUAAGGAAGUCGUAUUGAAUAGGAUAUUAAACUUAACAGUUGUUCUUCCUACUAAAAGAAAGAAUAACGUCCGUUUCCCCCCUUCAUUCUUACUUCAGUGAUACUUGUGGCCCCAAUAAACAUCCAAUAUUGGGUCAAGGAUAUUCCAUAUACAUGCAGCAAACUAUCAAUAAACCUUCAAUAAACAUUCAAUAUCGGUUCUAUAACAUGCGAAAUACAUGCAGUUAACAAAUAUUACAAAAUGGGUUUAGGGUCUCAUUGGUGGUGCGUGCAACAUGUCUUGUGCGGAAGAACUUUCACAAUCUUUGAAACCAUGCAGUUAAAUGAUCCUUAAAAGAACAAAUAAAAUGACAAUUGAUACAACUAAUAAAACUAAUACCAAGUCCUUAAUGGACUUCAGCAUGUUCAGCACUCUAGCAUCAUACGUGUCAUCUUGAUGUUCUGCUUCAGCGGAGGUUACAUCAACCCAUUCGAAUCCAUUGCAACUGGUGGCUCCCUAAUUGCAGGCAUCAUAUAUGGAAUAUAAUUCUGUUAGAGUUAGACAUGGGUUUAUUUUGACCCACAUACAUAUUAUUGAAAUUAAAACUUACAUAGGAGGUUAGACACUUCCAGAAUGGCUUCCCUCGAUUUUUGUCAGAUUUUGAAACCCGAAGCACCAUUGUAGCUCCACAAUACUGACACCUCUUUGUUUGAGCAGGAGAUGAAGACGAAGACAUGUUGAAUCUUCUCAGUUGUACCUCUUCUCACUCAGAUCUUCUCACUGAAACCUCUUCGGACUCAUACCUUCUCACUCAUCGUUGUCAUUCAUACCCCUUCACUCAUAACCCUAAACUUGUCACUCAGCUCUCUCUCAUCUCUGCCCAAAUCGAGUUAUAUUUCUUUUUUUUGGGAUCAUUUGGUGGGUUGGUCACGAUCUCGACACCCGUACCGUCGGCAUUGCGACAUCUUUUAGCCCGAAAAGCAAUAUAAACUACUUCACUACCAAAUAUAUUUUCUGAAAAAUGAGGGGACACUGCUUCAAAUUUAUUAUUUUAUAUAUAUUUCAUUAAGGCAACUAGUUGGAUAAGAAUCCGUCAUUAUUGGUUCCAUUUGAAUAACAUUACUAGGGGUAGUUGGGUGUGGGAAAAUGAAAAAGUAUAUGAUGGGACCUUCUGUCACUACUCAGUAAUCCAUCACAUUUGUAUCAAUGAAUUUGAUAGUGGGAUAAUCCCACAAAUGGCUAUGCAAAUAGCCAUUUAAUGAACUUUUUGACUGUCUGACUCUGUAUGCACCGUUAUGACGUUUUCCCUUCUUUUGUCUUCAGUUUUAAUUCACUUGGGUUCAGUUUCUUUAAAAAUGGUCAACUUGGAAAAACCCCAACUGGAAACACCUUUUCAAAACACUAUAAACAGAGGCUAAAACAAAACGUGUACCCCAAAUAUUCUCAUUUAUCCCCUCUGCCACUCCUCAAAUCGUUCCAUUCCAAAAACUUUUCAAUGAAUUCGAAACACUUCACUACAGUCGGAGGAAAGAGAAGGAAGCAUCUCCAUUUCGAUAUGCCCGAAGCCUUCAUCCCGGAGUCCGCUUGGUUUCAAGUGAUGUUAUACGUGGCAACCGAAUCAUCGGAAGAUCUCUUCCGUAUGGCAUCUGUGUGCCCAUUGUUCCAAACUUUGGCAAACAGUCCACAAGUGUGGAACACCAUUUCAAUGGCAAAGUACCCACACCAUCCUAGCUGGUACCGUGCCAGACCUGCGGUCCAGCAUUUCUUGCAACAAUGCAGGGCUUGCGAUAACCCUGAGUCGAUAUUUAGAGAAGCAUUCGAUAUUUUUUUCAGGGCCAGUAAGGUGGAAGCGUUGUAUGGGAUGCGCAUUGCAGCCACGGCAGGCCAUAUGGAAGCGGCAUAUGUAGUUGGACUACUUGGUAUAUCCGGAAUUGGUCAGUCAAAAGAGGAUGCAUUACAAUUCUUGUGUUCUUUGAAUCAACGUAACAACAUUGAUAUGAAAGGAACCAGGGAUGCUUUGACACGAAGAUUAACCGGACCAAGAGUUGCAAGACAUAUCGUAGAUAUAUUUGACUAUGGGAAGAUUAAGUUCAAUCGCUGCAGCACUUGUAACAACAAUGAAUGGUAUUUUGUUAUUCAAGGCUGGCCUAGUGAAGACAAGAUAAAUCCUGCCUUCUAGACUUGUUGCAAUCGAUGCAAAUGGCACCGUGAGAGUAUUUUUUGGUUCAAACUGAUGCGUGAGUAUGUUGUGCGAGGGAAUCAUGUAUUUUUGCAUUAGUUUUAGUACGAAUUUACGGUUUUGAUGCAUUGUGGACUUACUUCUCUUCACUUCUAGGUUGGCUGGCUACGUUGUACAAAUGUUGUUUAAAUGUUGUUUAAAUGUUGGUAUUUUGUCAUAAACCGUUUUAUAUAUAAAUGUAUAAUAUUUAUUAUAUAGCGGAAUUAUUACUUACAUCAUAGACGGCUACGAAUGACAUUUUACUGACACAGAUAUUUUGCUCACCCACCCCAAUAUUCAUAUUUGGUAAACGAAAAGUCAUGCAUGGAGUAAAUAGGUGUCUUUUCACCAAUGCUUGGGAAUGACAUUUUCCCACUUAGCAUAUUCGACAGGAUUUGGUUACACGUUUCUUAAGCAAAAGUUGAACAGUGAAUGACGUUGAAUAAUUUGUUUGUGUGGAAGGAGUACAAUGGAUGACUUGUAUAUUUCCAUAUUAUGUUUGAAAACAUCCCUUCAACCUAAAAAAUAAAAAAAUUAACAAAUUGAAGAACAGAGAAACCGAUGAGCACUACAAAUGGCCUAUUCGCACGGAAAAUAAAAUUGUUUUAAACAAGUUGGACUAAAUAUAAUUAACAAAUGGACAGCCUAAAAAGUAAUAUCAUAAUAAUUAUAAUAAUUGUGGAUUAAUAAUAAUAAAAUACUAAUGUAGCAUAACCAUGAAACAGGGAAUUCAGUAGGAAGAUGAAAUCUCAAUAAGUUCGUUGAAAUGUUCGGAUCGUUUUUCUAAUUUUUGUGUAUUUAGUUCUGAAUUUUCCAAGAAAAAAAGUAAUUAAAUAAUAAUUUAGGGUAAAAUGGGAUGAUGUGGCCAUGUUGACUGACGUACACUUGUGCAAGUACUCAUAAGUGAGGGGCUGAGAUCGCGCCAGGUGUCUUCUUGGAAUUAGGGUUGGCUAUUUUAGUGGAAAAAUCCUUGAAAAUAGGUAAAAAAUAGUAGGAAAUUCCUAUUCUAGGUUGGGAAAAUUACCCGCGCCUCCUUGUGACGUCAUAAAACUAGGAGAACCUAUAAAUCAUCCGUCUCGCAAUGAAAUAAUCCAAAAUGUUUUACAUAACUCACUUCCCUCUUUACCCUAAGUAUUGAUGUUUGUUAACUUGAACUUCAAUAACCUACUUCAACAAGCAUCUCCCGUUAAUGUUGGGAAUAAUUGUCUAAAAUGCGUAACAAUGAAUCGGAGAAUUCAGCAAGGGAGAUGGAGUGUCAAUGAGUUCGUAGCAAUUUUCGGAAAUAAUUUUGAAUUUUUGUGUAUUUAGUUAUGAAUUUUGUAAGACAAAGUAAUAAAAUAAUAAUUUAGGGUAAAAUGGGAGGAUGUGGCCAUGUUGACUGACGUACACUUGUGCAAGUAGUCAAAAGUGCCGGGCUGAGAUCGCGCCAGGUGUCAUCUUCUUUUCAAUUUUGGAUUCUUUUGUUAAAAAAUCUUUGAAACUAAGUAAUAAAUAGUAGGAAAAUCCUAAAAAUGCCCCCAAAAUUACUCCGGCCUACUUGUGACGUCAUAAAACUAGGAGAACCUAUAAAUCAUUCGUCUCGCAAUGAAAUAAUCCAAAUUGUUUUACAUAACUCACUUUCCUCUUAACCCUAAGUAUUGAUGUUUGUUAACUUAAACUUGAAUAACCUACUUCAACAAGCAUCUCCCGUUGAUGUUCGGAAUUAUUUUUAAAAAUGCGUAACAAUGAAUCGGAGAAUUCAGCAAGGGAGAUGGAGUGUGAAUGAGUUCGUAGCAAUUUUCGGAUAAUUUUUUUAAUUUUUGUGUAAUUAGUUCUGAUUUUUGUAAGGAAAAGUAAUAAAAUAAUAAUUUAGGGUAAAAAGGGAGGAUGUGGCCAUAUUGACUGACGUACACUUGUGCAAGUAGUCAUAAGUGACGGGCUGAGAUCGCGCCAGGUGUCCUCUUGCUAUUAUUUUGGCUUUUUUAGUGCAACAAUCUGUGGACAUAGGUAAUAAAUUCUACGAAAAUCCAAAAAAUGCCCGGAAAAUGAGAAAAUGAAAAUUAUUUGUACAUAACUCACUUUCCUCUUAACCCUAAUUCACGUGUAACACGUAUAUUUCGGAUAAUAUUCGAUAUAUAAUUUGUAAUAAUACAAUAUUUAGUUUCACUAUAUACAAUAAUAUGUUUUGUUAUAAUAAUGUACAUAAAUAAUAAUUGCACAUGCUUUGAAGCCAUCAUUGCAACUACGCCUAGAGCUUUCAAGACGUCAGUUCGUAUUCAAUAAGUUGUCCACAUGCAAGUGCACCUACAGUUUUCAACACGUCAGAGGUAUUCAAUAAGUUGUCCACAUGCAACUGCACCUAGAGUUAUUAACACGUCAGAGGUAUUCAAUAAGUUGUCCAUAUGACGCCGCAUUGGGAAUCAGUAAUAUAUUUUCAAUCAUGUCCAAUCACAUAAAAUAAUGGCAUACUUUUUCUCAAUAACCUCACACAAGUGAAGCAAUUUUAAAACCCUUACUGAAUAUUUGUCCUAGUCUAUAUGAGUGAUUAUAUAAUCAGUCUGCAUUUUUUUCACAGUAUAUGUUAACUUUGAGAGGGAUUCCACAAACAUAAAAUAUAAAGAAAGCAAGAAAUAGUAGGAGAUGAACCAGUAGAAAAAACAAUAUAUAAAUGGUACAUAAUAAUUCCAUAACCUUGUCACAAACGCACUCACAAAAGCUUUUCCAUAAACCUUGUCCUAACAUAUAAUAAAUAAAGGCAACAUUGCAUAUGAUGCAACCAUGUCCAAAUCUGAUACGUGAUCAAAAACAAAUGGACAUGGCAGCAACAUAUGACUGAAGUAGAUGGGCUCUUUGCAUCUUGUGUUUUCGUAAUUAAAGACAUCAAAAUAUUAAGGUUUAAAUCUUCCAUAGUAGUUAGCAUCAAAAUAGCUUUGAAGCAGAGUGUAAAGAAAAUUCCAAUUCCACUGAUUUGCCUCUGCUCAAACACGAGAACCAAAAUGGUUACUUCCCUUGCUGAGUAUAUUUGGUGACGUCGGAAACGGUAAUAGAUGAUCAAUCAAACCCAGGUACGACGAGUUUUGCAUAGGAUCGGAAGUAGUCGAAUCCAGCUUGCAUCACACGCUUCUUUGACUCCACUGCAUUAGAUGAGUUCUUGUAUUUUUGAACAGCUACACUCCGAAGUCGUUUGUGUCUACGCUUCAUGCGCUGCAACUUCACCCUAUCCAGAUUGGCCUGCCUUUUGUCAUCUUCAAUUUGGCCUUCAACAAAUUCCAAACGUGCCCUUGCCCUUUGGAUUUCAUCACCAAGUUGAAGAUGCCUCUCCUUCCAAAAAGCAACAACUCUUUCAGACUCAAAACUUCCAACAAAAUGGUCAUUCUGUCUAGGAAUGUGACAUUGCUUGUCUGGUGACUCACUUGCGUGUCGAAGGCGGUCUUUGUUUGGAGGGGUGUUUAUUAUGCUCACAUCAAACUUGGUUAGUAAAUCCAUUCUUUGGGGGGAAUGAGUUUGUUUGCUUGAGAGAGUAUCAGUAGAUGGAGACAGAUUCGGUGGAGGAGUGAGUUUUGUGUGGAAGGAGAAUUUAUAUGAAAGGGGUGAUAGUAAUACCAAGAAAAGGGUUCCCGCCAAAAAAUAUUUGGUUGAGAAUGUAUAAAUUAAUUUUUGGUCUGAUACAAUCUAAGUUGAAUCCUAACUAGUUUGGUUGAGUUAACUAAGUAGAUGUCACUUCCAUUGAGUUUCUUUCAACCACUAUCAGUGGUGUCAGGAGAGUGUGAGGUUGACAUGCUUGAAAAGCAAAACCUGACACCUAUUUUUAAAAAAUUCCAUAAAAAAAGUACAUAUGUUGACUACACACAAGCUUUGGUAUGUUGGUCUAUAAACCUAUGUUCCCUUUCUCAAACGAAAUUGCAUAUGCAAUCCUCAUCCUCCCAAAACAAAGAGGAUUAUUCAAGCAUGUCAACCUCUUCAGGCGCCAACAACACAAUCGAAGAUGACAAAUUGGAGUCGCAGGUUCUAUUUCCACAUUGUACUCGCCGACCCCUUCCUUUUUCAACAUCAUUUGGGAGUGAGGGGGACUCCGAUGAUCCAUUAGAGGCAAUACAUGCAGUCAGUGGCAAGCUGGAUUAUAAUUCCAGACUGAUCAAUUCAUGGCACGAGAAAUGUGUUGAAGACGAGGCAAUUUUGGCUGAUCUUAACAUUAGAGUGAACAAAGCGUUCUCCCAAAAGAACAAGUACUUGAAGCUGAGUCAUAGCAGGAAGCUGAAAGCUGAGGAGUUGGAUACAGUAAUGAAUGAUGAAAUGAAAGGUUGUUUGCUGAACCACAUGCGAUGCGAAGAGCACCAUAGUGAACUGGAGUUGGCAUUCAACGAAGGAUUCGACAAAUUUCGAGCAUUUGCGGCAACUACUCAUACAAGUUAUGAUUGGAACUAUGUGUCCCCUGAUGCUGUGAGAGAGAUACUAGACGAUGGGGGUGACAUGAAUGAGCAUAAGCACGUCAAAGCUGCUCGGAAGAAGCCGACCGAUACGACUAAGUGAUUGCGGCUACCGCUGUUCAGUUGGUUGAGGGUGACCGUGGUAUUGCACAUAUACUCCCUUAAUGUCAUUAUCUAAUUUCAAAUAACACAAAUAUCAGUUUCAUUUGCUUCAUAUAUAAUUAUUGGGACUAUGUAUUGCAAGUCAUCAUGUGUUAUAAUGUCUAACAUUAUAUUUUGCAAAUAUGGAAAUAUUAUUCAAUAAGCAGUCAAUAUCACAGCAAGCCGGGAAUCAGUAAAUGCUCCUUAUCAUGUCCAUUUACAUUAAAGAGCUGGCGUACUAAUGUGUUCAAAAAAAACUGAGACGUGAGUCAUAAGUAACAUAACAUGUGCUAUACAUUGUUUACUGAAUGGUUUAUGGUUUAUUUUUAUAUAAUAAAAUUCCAAAUAUUGCUGAAGAUUUAUUUCGUCUAUAUGACUAGGGAUAUGAGUGGCCAUAAGCAUGUGAGACCUGCUAAGAAGAAGCUGACGAGUACGACCGAGUGAUUGUGGCUACCGUUGUUCAGUUGGUUGGGGAGAUCGUGGUAUUGCUAAGAGGGAGCACAUAAUAUGUUUUGCAAUCAAAUGUUCUUUUGUGUGUGGAAUUAUGAGUAUUUAUGUAAGUUAGUGUACCCUUUAAUAUUUUUCACCUAAGUAUCGAAAUGUAAUUAGCUGCAAUGUUAUGUUUCAUUUUUACACGCUGCUUUCUAUUUGCUCUGUUCCAACAAAGUGCUUCAAGUAUCCUUCAGUUACAAAAGUGUACAAAAUCGUGCCCCUAAUAACCAGUCGUCAAAAGUGGCUACUGCUGGAAAUGAUUACUGGUAAUGGAAACAACAGCUGGCUGCUGGAAAUGCUGCAUUAGCCUGAGGAUUUGAAAAAUGAAUCUCUGUUAAAACAUAAUUCACCCUAAACUGCCCAUUUUACAUGGUAAAGGUCAUUGCUUCUUCACAUAACUACAAAUUUCAUACUUGAUCAAAUGUCUAUGAAAAUUUAUAAAUAGGGAGAAGACGUAAAAUUAACAUGUCUCCAAAUUUCAUGGAAGAAUGAAACCAAGGAAAUUUUCAUUUCAAUUACCAGUGGACAUAGUAAGAGCUCAUCGGUGGACAUGAACAAAAACACAAUAAUAUUCAAAAACUGAAUCUAUAAAACUUCACCUGAUCAUUAAUCUUCAUAACAACCACAUUUCGUCUAAUACAAAUAUAAAUCAUUUAGUUGGUCCGUGCAUCCUGUCAAAAUCGUCGAAUAAUGGGUCACUACGAUGUAUUGGAGUUGAUUCGUCAUUGUUCGACGGUGAUGUCCUGCAUAAACAUCAAACACAAGCACAUAAAAAUUUUACCUUUUCAUAUUUUAGAUGUUAUUACAACUAGUGUUAGCAUCUUACGGUGUGUUCAAGGCUGGGCAUUGUCUUCUAUCAUGACCAAUGUGUCCACACUCCCGACAGUGUCUAAUCCCUCGCUUCAUUGCCUUUUCCUUUGCUCCCGUUACUCCUUUCGACCUUCCUUUGCACCUCACUCUCUUAGGGUCUUUCAUAUAUUGUGUUUGAGAGCUGGACCCUCCAACUUCGUUAUUACUUAGUCCAUCCUUCAGCAACUUUAACUUCACCUGCAAACUUUUUAGAGUCUCUGACAGUAGCUCACAUCCUUCUUCACUCAUUAAUGCAUCCUCAACCACAUCUGAAGCAAGUCGAGACAUUGUACUCCGCUUUAUUAGAAGGCCAGGAUCUGCACAGUCUUUAAUUUCGUUGCCAUUUGCAUCUGACACCAUUCCAGAUUUCGCAGUUUUCUUCCACCUCUUCAAAAUAUAUUUAUCGGGCAUAUAUUCAAUCUGGUCCCUUCUGAACAAUGCUAGGAUGUGCUUGCAAAUAAUUCCAACAAAUUCAAAUCUUUUGCAGCUACACGAUGCGUGGUCAGAAUCUUUGACAUAUACGACUUCUGCCACUCUUGUUUCCCAAUUUUUCCUUUCGCUCACGUUAAAGACAACUUUACAAGCAUCCUCUGUUUUGAGCUCUAGGAAACAUGCUGUACUUUGUAUUAGUUCUUGCUCAAACUUUUGAAACAUUGUCCUUGUGUACAAGGUAGCCAUUUGUUUGUUCAUUGGCAUCGGUAGAAGACAUUGAGCCACUUCAAAUGCAUCUACGUGAUCAGCAACUAACUCUUUUUCACGUUGAUGAGAAAGUGCCCUCUCAAAUCGUAUUAUGAAAUCCAUCAACGAAUUUCUCCUUGAUAUGUAUUGCUUGAAAAAACCAUGAGAACCUUCCGCUCUUUGGCUGCUUGACAUUCCAGCGGCAAAAAAUUGUCGUGCGUAGGCUGGAACCCAAGAUUCCCUUAAAUCAAACAUUGAACUUAGCCAUGGAUGGUCGGUCAAACCAGCCUUUGUAACCACAAUAUUCCAUUUUGCAUCAAACUCAUCCUUAUUGUCAGUAUCCCAUAUGGCUUUCUGAAAUUCACGCCAAUACUCCUUAUAAGCGUCACGUGGUAACUUAACAGAGAACUUUGAUGUGAUGUGCCAUAUGCAAAGUCGAUGAAAUGUACUCGGGAAGGCUAUUGAAAUCGCUAUGGCCAUUGCCGCAUCUUGAUCUGUAAUGAUCGUUUUAGGUUCCCCACCUGGCAUGGCUUUCUUAAACUCCUCAAACAUCCAAACAAACGACUCAGUCGUUUCCUUGCUCAAAAAUGCACAUGCUAAGACAAUUGUUUGACCAUGGUUAUUAACUCCCAACAUUGGUGCAAAUGUCAAGUCGUAUCGAUUCGUGUUGAAUGUGGUAUCGAAUACAACAACAUCUCCAUAAAACCCAUACGCCCGUCUAGAAGUUGCAUCUGCCCAAAAACAUCGACUAAACCUGUCAUGCCCAUCUCCCUCAAUCUUGAAAUAAAAAGCCUCAUUUUUUUUCUGUUCAGCCAUAAAAUACUCGGUCACUAGUUCAACAUCGUGGUUCCUCAGCUUCCCAUUCACACUACAUUCAAGAUUGUAGAUAUCUUUUUUGAUAAAACCGAUUUUAUCCAUUCCUCCGGAUUGCACCUUGAAAAUACUUACCUUAUGAUGAAUGGGAAUAUUAACUGAACCCAACUGUUUUGUGAGUACUUUGUAGAAUCUGAAAUAUGACGGUGUGAUCUCAAUAAAUGCAUUCUUUCUGAGGGUGUCAUCUUAUGAUUGUGUCCCUCUGCAAAAAGAGAUAUGGUAUACUUCUUGCUCCCAUUUGUCUUCACAACCACAAUCUUAGCUUUGCAAUUGCAUCUACUUAUUCCCCGUUGUCUUUUUCUCUCCCGAGUUUCAUCCUUCCUGUAUGCACCUUGUUUGCAACAUACAAAUUCUUUCCUCAAAAUCUCUUUCUUAUUUUUCCCCCAAAAGCUAGAAUGAAGUCGAAUACCAAAGCCAGCAAAGAAUGCAUAUCUAUUAUAGAAAUUGUAAACGAGGUCAAGCGAGUCAAACUUCAUCCCAACUGCUGGUGUUUCCUCAUUUCUUACUUCAGGAAUAUAAACCCUCCCAUUAGCUGUUGCACAUUCAUCACUCUCUGAGCCCCCAGACAUUUUAUCUACGUAUAUUAUUGAUCCACUUCUAUAUUACUGCAUAGCAAUUAUUCAUUCAUUAAUCAGUCAUUACUGCAUCACAACAUAUCAAUGCAUUCCACUUACACAAAACAUUGCCCAAAUUGACACAAAAUACGCAUAGCCUAACUUCCGAUUACACAAAACGCAAGCAAAAUUUCAUAAAAGUUACGUCAUCUCUUGUGAAAUAAUCUGGUCAAAAUAACAUUAGAACCAACAUGUUCAACUAAGAACACAAAUGUAAUUCAAACCACCAAUUACAGAACUUCACCCAAUAUCCUCUCCAACUGCUUACUCCUAAUGUCAUUAAGCCUAAGUUUAGGUUCUUUUACCUACAUUUCAUAAUUUUCCACCCCGACCAACAACAAUGAACUAAGAAUAUUGAAUAUUCAUAAGGAAAUGACACAUUAUUGAUGCCACAAAUGACGAAUUUCCCACCCUCACAAAAGAUAAACCUAACCCAAUAAAAUCAAUCCAGCAAGUGAACUUACCUCUCAAAAUCAAUCGGGAGCUCUGAAGUCAGUCAGCUUGAAAGAAUGUGGUGGACAUUACAGAAGACUCUUUGGUAUUUGAGACUCCAUCUCUACCAAAAUCGAGGAACAACUGCUGCUGCGGCUUCUAGCUACAAAAACAGAUAUGCUACUUUGCUUUCAUCUGGAAUCUUGUCAGCUGAAUGAAAAAGAGAAGGGGUUUUCACUUGAGCCAUAGAAUCAAAACAGGGCAACAGCUAGGUAAGAGCCAUUCUUCGUAAUACCCAGGAUACCAUAGAUCGCAGGCCUCCCAACGAGCUAAUGACAGUCGAGUGACUAUAAGGUUUGGGAGAUUUGGAUCCUUCUAAUUGUGGGUUUGCUUUACAUUCAAAAAGAAAGGAUUGUGUUCUUCAGUUUUUCACAGAGAGGGAAAGAGGGGAACAACUGAAGUUGGGUUUCUAACGGGUUAGAUUUCAACCCGAUUCUACAUGCACCCUCUUUUAAAAACUCACCGUUGGAUGAAAUCCAACGGCUCUUACAUGCCCCUCAAAAACACCCCUUAUAACUUCCCACUCACUAUAGAAGCUCCCCUGUUUGUGUUGUUGAAUUGGGUCUUUUAGUUGUUUUUGUAAACUCUGAUUUAAGUCUAGUUUGGUAUUGCUGUACUUUUAAAAAAAACUACUUCCGCUGUGCUGCUAGAAUACUCAGCUGUAAAAAAAAUUAGUUAUGCUUUUGGUAAACUAUAUUUGAAAAAGUGCUGUGAGUAAUCCAAAUGUUUGGUAAAUGACCAAAAAAAAGUGCUUUUAAUACGUACAAUGACUAAAAAGGACAUGAUGAUGGAACUAUUUGAUUUUUUCUUCAUUCUUUUUCUACUUAAAAAAAACUUCACUACAUAAUUUUUUUUUCUUUUUUUAUUUAUACUAUACACGUGUUCCUCUCUUCUCAAAAAAGUAAAUGCCUUUUGUUAUGUAUUGAAUGCUAACCCAACGACACCAAUUGGAAACCCAACACAGCCCAUCUCUCCACUUCAAUUUUUCUCUUUCUACCAUUUACAAGUUUUUUUUCUUCAUUCCUUCGUCUAACCAAAAAUAUCUCAUGUUUCCCCCAAUUAGUUUUAGUACUUUUGGGUAGGUGAGACUGAAAAGGGGAAAAAUUGUAUGUUGGGUUUAUGUUUUGGUGUUCUUGCAAUGGGAGAUAACAUAGUGGAGAAAGUAGCCAUGGUGAAAAUACAGAUUUCUGGGUUGCAGCCAUGGAGAUUUGAGCUGAUUUACAGUGCUGUAGUGGGGGUAGUUGAAGCCCCCCCAAAGUUGGGACUACUGCAACAGGAUCUUUCCACCCAAAACCAAAAACAAGAACAACAAACUCAGGUGGAACAUGAAACUCAUCACUCUCUCUCUUCCUUCGACUCGGGUUUUCUCUCUUCUUCCUCAAACCUGCGACAAAUAGAAAAACCCCCAAUUUAACAGAGAAAACUCUAGAUGCAGAAAGUUUGAGAAGUAGAAAACCAAAAAACCAUAAUUGUAAUUAAGUUAUUGAUGAAUGGGCAACCUUCUUAGCAAUUAAUUUUUUGAUGUCCACAAUGAGAGUUCCAGCAGCGUCAGAGAGUAGAGAAGGAAAUGAAGGAAAUAGAGUUCACAGAAUGGAGAAGAAAAAAGGGGCAAAAGACCGUCAAUUUGUAAAAUAAGUGAGGGUAUUACGGGAAAGUUAAAAGUUCAUUAAAACAACCGGUUAAAUUUUUUUUGAAGCAGCUUUUAAAAGCUUGGUAGAGACGGCUUCGAAAAAACAGCGAUCAUUGACUGCGAUUUUAAAAAAAAGCAGGAUUCCUGAUGUUUUCCAAACACCCAACUCAUGAAAUUUUUUUAUUAAAGCUGCUUUUUAAGAAAAUUAAACGCUGCCAAACACCACCUUAACCAUUUUCUUUGCGUGUGCCAAAUUUAUAAUUUUGACCAGUGUCAUGCAGGAAAAUGUUUCAUGCUUUGUUAACAGGGGGCUUUCGAUGAGUAUUUUAUUUAGAUGAAAAGUGAUUCAUUCCUUUCCUUUAUGGAUUCAUCUUGUUAGGUUGAUCUAUUGAAGAAUGAGCUUGGAUUUGAUGAGGCUUUUAACUAUAAAGAAGAGGCUGACUUGAAUGCGGCUUUCAAAAGGUGCAUAUGAGUAAUGAUAGAGAGAUUACAUUUAUAAACCCUAGCGGACCAUGAAUAUAAUGAGUCUUAAAUCUAUUAGACAAUUGGUUAGUUGACAGGUGGUAUACAAAGCAGUCUACAAAUGUGAUCUCCCUAUCAUUUUCCGUAAAAUACAUAUUUAUUAUGUUAUACUAGUUUCCUUUAGUAAGAAAAGAAAGGAAAAAAACUAUUAUUAAGAAUUUGUGUGUUGUUAGGGUUCAUCAUUGGGCUGGGCCAACUCAAAAAUUUUGGGUUCGAGCCGAGCCCUCAUGGGCCGAAAUGGGCCAGACUUUUUGUUAAAAAGUCUUUUCAAUCUUUUUGUUACACAUUUCGUUUUUUCAAAAGUGAUGGAUAUAGAGUAUUCUCUUAAACAAUAGUAUAGAUUACUACAUAAUUUAAGAAAACAAAAAUAUAAUAGCCAAACUUUUUUACUAAACCUAGACCAAUAACCAAUAUAUUUAAAAAAUAUUAUACCUAAAAAUGAAUCUUAUGAUGUGCAAUUUGUGCCUUAAUUAACUUAUAUCCCAAAUUAGGAUUGACAUCAUGAAAAUUAAAGCAAUUUGUGCCUUUAAAAUUAAUAAACCCAGAAUAAGCUUUCAAAUUCUUUAUUGAACCGUUAAAUUUGAACUUGACAAAAAAGGGGCACUAAGAGAUAUAGUGCAUAUAUUGCUUGUUUGUUACAAAAUUUUAGACAACAUUGAAAAAAUUAACUUAAUUUAUAACAUGUGUAAACAAAAUAAAAAGUUUAUUAGUUUAUCAUACAUAUUACAUUAUUUUGAUUAAGUAUAAAAUGAGGUUAGGGAAUGCAUCAAUUAAUCUUAAAAAAAUGAAAAGCAUAAGCGGGCGGGCCGAGCGGGCCUAACCAUCUUGCUAGGCUGGACUUUGACCCAUCAAGCCUCGGACUACCCACUUCGGAGCCGCGGGCCAAAUGAUGAUCCCUAUAUGUUGUAUAUGAUGCUUUGAAGCUUGAGCUUUCUUGAGUGAAGGAUAAAUUUUCUUUGUAAUUACCAUACACUUGCCAGGUAUUUCCCUGAAGGCAUUGAUAUUUACUUUGAGAAUGUUGGAGGCAAAACGCUAGACGCAGUGCUCCUCAACAUGAGAGUCCAUGGCCGCAUUGCUGUAUGUGGAAUGAUCUCACAGUACAAUCUUGAUCAAGCAGAAGGGGUAACAAAUUUGAUGCACCUUGUGUAAAAACGUAUCCGCCUCCAUGGAUUUUCGGUAAGAGAUCACUAUCACAUCCAUCCGAAAUUCGUGGAGUUUAUGCUGCCUUACAUUAGGCAAGGAAAGAUUGUUUAUGUGGAAGACAUAGUUGAAGGCCUUGAGAGUGGUCCAAGAGCGCUGGUUGGACUUUUUAAGGGUCUUAACUUUGGAAAACAAGUAGUUGACGUCUCUGCAUGAAUAAGUUGUUUUGUCAAUCGAUUUGGUGUGCUUGUGUUUCUAACCACUAUAACUUUGUUAAGUGGCUCUUUGGUUUUAUUUUUAUGUUUUUGGAUCCUUUUUGGGAUUGCAUAUGUUAAGUGGUGCACUUUGUCAUACAGAAGAUAUUCAUCAAUAAUAAGGGCUAAUUCAGGAUUGUUGUCACUUUUAAAAAAAGAUGCUUCUGUUGUGUUUUGGAAAUAAUAAGCUGUAAAGUAGUUCCAUGCGUGUUAAACAAUAUUUUUAAAGUGUUGUUAGUAUAAAAAGUUAUGUCAAAACCGUUUGGUAAAUUUUGAUAUAAAACUAGUAACUGUUGAUAAUGACUAAAACAUACAUGAUAUGUCGAAAGUGUUACGUGGUAACCAUAUGGUGGUGGUGGCGGUGGUGGUAUAGGUGGAGGUUGAGUUGGUGGUGGUGGUGGAGGUGGAGGUGGUGGUGAGGCGUGCUACGGGCACCAACUUAAAUACUAAUUUAAUGAUACCAACCUAUGUGGCAUAUGACAUGACAAUUUAUGUCAUAUGCCACAUCAUUUUUUUUAUUAGUUAAGUUUUAACAAUUUUUUGUCAGAAUUAACUUAAUUAUUUAGUUUUAAAUAAAUAAAUUCUGCUCCACGCCUCCCUUCCUUCUCGGAUCUACUACCAUGGCCUCCUUCCUCCCCAACUUGUAUGCCCUUAUUAUUACGCACAUUGAAUUUGGCUUUCGGGGUGUGACAUAUUUUUACCAAUCCCAUGAAGCUUUUCUUAUCUUUGAAUGCUUGAGUGCUAACCAUUGUGUGUUUCCCUUGCUUUAGGAAGAUUGCCUCACUCAGCAAGAAUGCAUGGUGAGGUGUUUGUGAAUGGUGCAAAAUCGGUACAUGUACAUGGCCACGACACCGAUAUAUAAAUGAGAAGAGAAUUCCUUGGUCAGUAUCAAUAUUGCGAAACUGUUGCAGCAUUGAAGGGUUGUGUGAACUCCUCGAUUUCAAGCGAAGUCGAAUAUUGCUUGAUGUGGAAGAUGGCUCAAACUAAUAAAAAUGAGGAAAACGGAUCAUACCAACAAAAAUAUGGCAGAUGGCCAGAAUCAAUAUAACCGUGGUCAGAUUUGGGAAGUGAGGCCAUGGCAGAUUCGGAGAGGGAGGGAGGCCAUGGCAGAUCUAUAAAGGAAUGGAGAAACAGAUCACACCUCUUCCCUUCUCCUCAUACCACAACUCAUCAUACACACCCAAUCGAUUUUGAAAUAUUACAUAAAAGUUGUGAUGGCGCUGGAACUGCAGAUUCAGAACGUUUUUUAUAUGCUUCCCACAAGCAGUCAGACAAACCCUUAGAGGACGAGUGACAUCAUUACCUUCUCAACUUACCAAAGAAAGAACUCCUUCCGAAGUGGUAACCACUUGCCGAUGCUCCCAACUACAGAACCAAGUUUCCAUGGACACGUGUCACCUCCACAAUAGUUUGCACAAAGUCCGACAUUGAAACUUUGUGCAAAACUCCCAUUUUCAGGGAACAGUACCUAAGGAAAAGGGGUAACUACUUUUCACAUUUACUGUUACUCUGCCAAAAUUACCACAUAUACUCGCUGACUUAAGUAUUGGAGAGUCUUCGGCAGGUACCACACCAGUGUCCGAAGCUUGACGAUCCCUUCUUCCUUGUUUUCUUAUGCAAGAUCCCUCCAUACCGAAGGUCCACAACCUUCUCCCUUGCUGAAGAUUUAACACUCCUUUAUCUAAGUUAACCCUCCGAAAAAGAGCAUCAACACGCGCAGCACUCAUUAUCUUUCAACAAUCUGAUUAUCUUAUACUAGUUAAUUUAUGGGUUGUUUGAUAACAAUUUCAAUUUUAAUUUUUAGUUUUCAUUUUCAUUUUUUUUGAAAACUGAAAACAUGUUUGGUAUUAGAUUUCGUUUUCAAAUUAAAAAAAAAGUGAAAUCUAGUUUUCAAAAUCACCUUUUUUUUAAAAAACAACUUGGAAGUGUUUUAUGUUUUUUUUUUAUGUUUUUUUUUUUUUUUUUUUUUUUUUUGUGCACUAUUGUUUGUUGGAGUGUUAGUUGACUUUCUUUGCACACCAAGGUUUCCCAUAUUAACUCAUGCAUAGAUUGGAAUUGAUUUCCUACUCUAAAUAGUAUUAGAAGUUAUUAAUUACCUUACUUAGCCUUCAAGGAAUAUUGUAUUAUAAAUAUGGCCUUCUACAAGGAGAAGAAUACACAGAAAAUUCUCACCACAAUUACUCUUUCGUAAUUUUAGCAUUAUUUCAUUCAUAAGUUUCACAUCACCACACAUGAAAUGCACUCCGGUUACCAAAAGUCGGUAUUUGGGACCUCCCAACUUGGACUUGGUCGCUCAAUUCGUGCUUUUGGCCACAAUCCCAAUCCAAACCUCGUCAACUCCAUGUCCAAAGGUCACUAAAAAAUAAUCAUAAUUUUAAAAAAUUCACCAAAAAAUAUUACGAAUUUUUUGUCAUUCCUGCUUUAACUUUACCUUUUGUUUUCAAAUGUUGACCCGUCCCAACCCAACUCUCAAUGCUCGAAGGGUUCUUUCGUGUAGUUAAGAGUUGGGUUUUCCAAGGUAGGUCUAUAUUGAUUCGAACAACUUUGCGGUAUAUCUGUGGGUAAGAUACUGUUCUCAAAGUAGUAAAGGCUGAACUAAAAGGCUAAAUGGGAAAAUGAAUACUUUCUUUUCUCUUCCUCAAGAAACAUACAUCCUCACCACAAGAGAGGGAGAGUUGCUUGGUAUUUUGUUAAAUAAAAUAAAAUAAUUAAUAAUUGAAAAUAGAAAAUGUUUGAAAAGGAUAUUGGGAAUAAAGAGAGAAGAUGCGGGUGUGAGUAAAAUAACAAUAAAAGAAAAUUAAAUCAAAAAUAAAAAAAUAAAAAAAUAAUUAAGUUUUGGGGAGUAGAAAUCGGGAUGGAGGGGGGAGAGAGAGGUUUUUUUUUAAAAAUUUUUUAUUCGUAUUUUAAUCAAUUUUGAUAUUGUUGAGGCCCAAAAAAGUUACGGGAAGCCCAAAGACAUUUAAAGCCCAAUAUAACAUAUAUUCUCAGUCAUGCGUUAAUCCAAGCUGUAAUUCGGAUUUAAUUCAUUAAAUAAAUAUAAAAUAGUGUACAUGUCAUGCUAAACUAAUAAUACAUUUUCCCCAUGCUAAUCACCUAUCAAGCUCACAUGAACCCAAGUCAUGUGAUUUACGGGCUUGCAUGAGGGAUUGUGGUGUGGAAGGUUACGGAGGUCCACAAGGCCCACGGAAGCUCUUGGAUAACAGAGACUUUGGGCUAGCUACUUGAGAGCACCAAAGUCCAAGCCCAUUACUUAGAGUUCUCCAAUGUGGGUGAGCAAAUGAGACAUUUUUCAAGCACUGCCUUUUACCUAUAGGAAAUAGUCAUUUUCCAAAUACCAAGCUUUACCCGUUGGAAACAAGCAUUUUCCAGCACUUCCUAUUACCCAUUGGAAACAAGCAGUUUCCAGUGCUUCCUUUUACCAAUAGGAAAAAAUCUGUUUAUGAUACCUAGCUUUACCUAUUGGAAAAUAGCAUGUCCUAGUCCUCCCUUUUAACCAUUAGAAAUAGGUUGGUUCCAAUACCUCCCUUUACCUAUUGGAAAUAAAGGAAAACCCUCACCCUCUAUAAAUUGGCACUCAUGGCUCAAGCAAAAGGCACCAAUUUUUCUUCAGCCAAUACUUCCUCACUCGGCUACUGCAAGCAUCCCAGCAGCCACCAACCCCCAUAAAGCAUCACCUAGCUCCAAGCUUUUCCUUCCUUCCAAGCUUUAAACACCAUAGCCUUUAAACCUCAAGCUUUUCCUUCCAUCCUCCUUCUCUUGAAACUCUUAAAUCCCCAUAGCCAUAGCCACACACAACAAAUUAUCAACACCAAACUCAAACAUAUCCAACACCAAGCCAAGCACAUGCAUUCUCAUUUGCUAAACUUGUGGGUCUUUAGCUCCUACACUCCAAGCUCUCAUGCUAAGCUCACAUAAUCUCAUACCAACAUCAGCAAGUCAUCUUCAACUCUUCGUCGAGCUGCCGAAAACAUCAACACAAAACAUGCAGCCGUUGGAAGAAGAACAAAGUACUCUCCCGGGACUUGCUUUUCCCUUGGGACACUUUGGGCCUAGUUCUCGCUAACUCAGAUAAAGGAACAACGAAGUCUUCAUUCAUCACUCUAUGGCGACCCAAGAAUCAACAAAGCCCGGAUGAGCCUUCGAACGAAAGUGACCACAUGCAAAGCUCAAGCUUCAAUAGCCAAGCCCAAGCUUUUGGUUCCUAAAAACAUGCUUACGACAGCUGCAACAAACAAUACCUAAGUCACCAUAAGUGAUAUGCCCCAGCGUCUCAAGCACUUUCUAUGCCCUGACAAUUCUAAUGAUCAAGUUUUAGAGUCAAACCAAAAGGCCAUUGGGAUGUCUCAAUUGCCACAAUUCCAUAAUCAAUCAUCAUCAAGCCUCAAGCCUUAUUCAAGAAAUCCAAGCACUAUUCUUUACUCAAGAAGGAAAACAUCUCAGUUCGUGGCAAAUAGAAGGAAAAUACUACGAAGGUACCGGAAGAACCUAAACACUGUCAAGAUGAAGUUUCCUUUACCAAGCAAUCAAAAUUUUUGAAGUGAUGUCAAGCUAUCAAGAAAAAGAGUAAAGUCACUAUGCAACACAACAACCAAAAUAUGCUUGUAGUAACCAAGAUUCAAGCCAAGCAAAAUGUGGAAGAUAAUGAUGCGUUGUAUGAAAUGCUCCUGGAAGAUAACACAAGCCCUAUAGUCAUGCUGCCGGAAGAGUGAACCAUCAUGCCACUAAAUUUGAAAGAGGAGCCCCAUAUCUGAGUACUGGAAGGCAGCGCAGUGGACUCCAAAACUAAGAUCUAGUCCAAGUGACUUAAGGCCUCCAUAUUGCAAUGCUUAUUUGCCAACACCUAUACCGCUUUCAAGCUACUGCAGACACUAUCAUGCUCAAAUCCUUAAGCAUCUCCCAUUGUAUUUUCAUCUUCUAAUCUACCAAAGCCCUCAUGAUUGACCAAGCUAUAUCUUGAUUCAACUCCACCCACUUGCUCUUUACAGCAGCCCAGGCCCAUCUGUAGCUGCCGGAACAAAAAAGCCCCAACGUAAAUGACAAAACCGAAACACUAAAGCACAUCCACCAUGCUAAAUAGCCCAAAAGCUAUAUUAAACCACGACACUUUAGCCAAUACCAAGCGUACAAGCCAAUGCCCAGCAUCCAAGCAUACAAGCCAAAGCUUAGCGUACAAGCCAAUACUAAGCAUACAUGCCAAUGCCAAGCAUACACACCAAUGCCAAGCAUCCAAGCCAAUACCAAGCGUACAAGACAAAGCCAAGCAUACAAGUCAAUACCAAGCAUACAUGCCAAUGCUACGCGUAUACGCCAAUGCCAAGCAUCUAAGCCAAUACCAAGCAUACAAGCCAAAGCCAAGCGUACAAGCCAAUACCAAGCAUAUAUGAGCCCAAGAUCAAGCGUACAUGCCAAUGCCAAGCAUCCAAAUCAAAUACUAAGAAUACAUGUCAACAUCAAGCAUACAUGCCAACACCAAAUAUACACGUAAAAACCAAGGAAGCAAGCACGGAUGUUUCAUGCAUAUUGAAGAACCAGCCAUGUCAUGCCACUGCCAAUUAUUUUGGGCUGAAAUAGAUUAUUGGGCCCAUCUCACUGCCACUUCAUAGCCCCAAUAAUCAAGGGGGCUAAUGUUGAGGCCCAAAAAAGUUACGGGAAGCUCAAAGACAUUCAAAGCCUAAUAUAACCUAUAAUGUCACUCAUGCGUUAAUCCAAGCUGUAAUUUGGAUUUAAUUCAUUAAAUAAAUAUAGAAAUAGUGUACAUGCCAUACCAAAAUAAUAAUACAUUUUUUCCAUGCCAAUCACCUAUCAAGCUCACAUGAACCCAAGUCAUGUGGUUUAUGGGGCUUGCAAGAGGGAUUGUGGUGUGGAAGGUUACGGAGGUCCACAAGGUUCAUGGAAGCUCUUGAAUAAUGGAGACUUUGGGCUAGCUACUUGGGAGCACCAAAGUCCAAGCCCAUUACUUAGAGUUCUCUAAUGUGGGUGAGCAAAUGAGACAUUUUUUAAGCACUUCCUUUUAUCCAUAGGAAAUAGUCAUUUUCCAAAUAUCUAGCUUUACCCGUUGGAAACAAGCCUUUUCCAGCACUUCCUAUUACCCACUGGAAAUAAGCAGUUUCUAUUACUUCCUUUUACCAAUAGGAAAUAAUCUGUUUAUGGUACUAGCUUUACCUGCUGGAAAAUAGUAUGCCCUAGUGCUCCCUUUUAACCAUUAGAAAUAGGUUGGUUCCAGUACCUCCCUUUACCUAUUGGAAAUAAAGGAAAACCCUCACUCUCUAUAAAUUGGCACUCAUGGCUCAAGUAAAAGGCACCAAUUUUUCUUCAGCCAACACUCCCUAACUCAGCUGCUGCAAGCAUCCCAGCAGCCACCAACCCCCAUAAAGCAUCACCUAGCUCCAAGCUUUUCCUUCCUUCCAAGCUUUAAACACCAUAGCCUUCAAACCUCAAGCUUUUCCUUCCAUCAUCUUUCUCUUGAAACUCUUAAAUCCCCAUAGCCAUAGCCACACACAACAAAUUAUCAACACCAAACUCAAACAUAUCCAACACCAAGCCAAGCACAUGCAUUCUCAUUUGCUAAACUUGUGGGUCUUUAGCUCCCACACUCCAAGCUCUCAUGCCAAGCUCAUAUAAUCUCAUACCAACAUCAGCAAGUCAUCUUCAACUCUUCGUCGAGCUGCCGAAAACAUCAACGCAAAACACGCAGCCGAUGGAAGAAGAACAAAGUACUCUCCCGAGACUUGCUUCUCCCUCGGGAUACUUUGGGCCUAGUUCUCGCUAACUCAGACAAAGGGGCAACGAAGUCUUCAUUCAUCACUCUAUGGCGAUCCAAGAAUCAACAAAGCCCGGAUGAGCCUUCGGACGAAAAAGACCCCAACAGAUAUAAAAAUACCAUUUUUCCCCUGCAGUUAACAGAAAAGUUAACAGCCGGACCAUUUGUCCUAACGAAACUGAAGUUGAAGAACUACGGGAACCAUUUUGAAAAUUGAGGUACUCAAAUACAAAUCGGGUCUAAGUUCAGGGAUUAAUAAAACAAUUAACCCCUGAGUUUAUAAUGCUCGAGAGUAUAUAGGAAGAGGACACUCCAACUGGCAGCUAUGGAGGAGGCCAAGACUAGUAGUGUCUAUUCUGUGAAAGCUAACUUUGCUUUCUUAUUAUCCACAACUUAGAUAUAUCAAUGGCUUCUUGCAAGAACCUCAAUUCUUUAUGAACUUUCUGCCCUAAAAUGCUUUAUCUAAUAGCUCAGACAAUGGUGAAAGAAAAAAAAUUGUUGUUGGAAUCUUAGCAUAAUAAUAUUUUCCAGCCAAAAUCAGUUGUUAGAUUCUCCAACAGCACAAUCUCUUUUCGCAAUCACAUACUAGUCAAUCCUACAGAGCAUAAGAUCCUACUUUGAGGGGUGGAAAGGAAUGAAUUCAACUCACCACUAUUAUGACCAAGGCAAUAAUUUUCAUUUCCAUCACAUGAUUCUAGGUGACCCACAACUCCAUACCACCAACCUGCAAUAUAUACAGAAAAUCCUAUCAAGCAAUGGACAAUGGGAAAUUAAUUAAUUUCACCUUUUAUUUAAGUUUCUGCAUAUUAAACGAAUCUACUUUCAUUAUAUAUUUAAGGGAAAUGUAAGCCUUUUUUUUCGUUCUUUACCCUUUUUUUUCCUCACCUUAAUGGGGCUUGAGGAUGUUUGAAUUGUUCGCUAGAACUACUUUCAUUAUCUAUUUGAGGCAUACUUCAUGAACCACAUGGAUUCUAGGAAGUGAUAUAGACCUUUGUUUCUUUCAUUUGAGCCCUUCUAGCCAACCCGUAUCACUUUUAUCCCUUGUUAAUCACCUUGUGCCUUUUAUGUAAGCCUUUUUUUUCGUUCUUUACCCUUUUUUCCUCACCUUAAUCUAUCAUAUGUUACCCUUCUAAGGAGUUUUGUACAGUAUUUUCGUUGUUAAGGGAGAAUUGCACAACAAUCAUGUGGAAAGUAAAGGAUACUAUUUCCAAAAAAAAAACCUAAUUUCAAACCCUUUUCAACUCGAGUUAUUGAGCCCUAUGAGUGUUUUACAUUUAAUUUCGUAAAGCUAUGUAGCUUGGGAGUCAUUGGCCUAACACUCGCUGCAUGGGUUGAUUAGAAAGCUAAUGAAGAGUUAGAAAAAAAAAUUGUGAAAAAUAAAUAAAUUUCAAGACAGUAUCAAUAUGAAGUUGCGUGCUCAAAGUGCAAGAUGUUAUAAUUUUCAUGGAAAGCUCUAUGAAUUCCUUAGAAUUUGUUCAUCCAUAUCUUUUUCUUGUUUCACCCGUCACUCUAAGCCCCAUUACAACCUUAUUUGAAGACUAUUCUGCUAUUUUCUCAAGGCGUGCAAUAUAUGACUGGAAAGAUAAGAUAAAGACCUACAAUUUACAUAUUUUUUCAGAAUUUUCUCGGAGGAGGAAUGAUUCCAAACGUGGGUGCAAAGUAACUAACGUGUUAUCCUAGUCCAAGUAGGAAGAUGAGUCAAUUACUUACCCAUUUUGGAUUUAAGUUUUAAUUAGCUGUUUCUUUAUUUUUGGGCUGUUGUAAAAGGCCAGCUAAGGUAGGAAUAGACGUGUGGCAUUUUAUUUAAGCAUGAGACAACUCCUUUGGGAAGACGCAAAGACUAGGAGAAAUUGGAGACGCCGGAAGAGUACCACAAUUGGCUAAGUUUUAUUGUUUCUUCCUUAUGUUUUUGUUUAUGUCAAAUUCUAUGAUUAUGUGUAACUAAUUUUAUUUUGCUAGGGCAUGAUGUAUGCCUAGUAUGAUAAUCUAGUUUUCUUAUUUUACCUAUCUAUUGAUUGCAGUUUGAUGUUAGAUUCUUAAUCACUGUGCUUAGUACCUUAGUUGAUUACCUUGAUGCUUGAUCACCAUCUAGACUUUUAAUUGAGUUAAUCGGAUGCGAAUUAGAGUAAAUACCAUACUUAAUUUGAGGUUUGCUUCUUGUGAUUAGAAUUUGUAAUUUGUCUAAAGUAAAUACCAUACUCCUAGAAUUUACAUGCUUGUUGGAGGUUUUCACUGAUUUCAAUAUUUUCCCGACAUGUGAUGCCAACAACAUAGAUGUUUCAAUGUUUCACUAUGGAAGCAAUCACGUAAGGAUUAACAUGGCAGGACAUCAGACAUGAGAAACUAAGAAGAGAGAGAGAGAGAGAGAGAGAGACUUGCCAUUCAAGCAAGAGAAGGCCAUAACACUAUAUAGCAAUAGCACCGUAAAAUAAGAUGCAAAGAAUGAGGGGGUCAUGUUUUCAAGUACCAAAACACGCAAGGGCAUUUUGGUAAAGUACAUCUGAAAAUAAAUCAAGGCAAGCAAAGCCGUAGAUAUCCUCUUCCUGCUACACAUAGUAUUAGCCUACGUAAGGUCAUUACGGCGCCGUUUCCCUUUUUAAUUGGCGUAGUUCAACUCAUCAUCCACCCAAGUUCAUUUCGUUCAAAGCUAUAAAUAACCCCUCAAACCAUUCAACUUUCCCACCACCACUCCUCACUCCUUCAACUCAUUAACCUCUCUCUCUCUCUCUCUCUCUCUCUCUCUCUCUCUCAUCCGCAAAUGGCGAACCGUAGAAGCCUCUUUUCUCUCUCACUUAUCUUUGUGUUCAUGAUCAACUCAGCCAUAGCCACUCCAGUCACAUACAAUGUGGCCAGUUUAGGAGCCAAAGCAGAUGGCAAGACUGACUCCACAAAAGCCUUCCUCUCUGCAUGGGCUAAAGCUUGUGCCUCGAUGAAUCCCGGUGUCAUUUAUGUGCCGGCAGGAACGUUCUUUCUUCGCGAUGUGGUGUUCAGUGGGCCUUGCAAGAACAAUGCCAUCACCUUCCGCAUUGCCGGAACCCUUGUGGCCCCGUCGGAUUACCGGGUCAUCGGUAAUGCAGCUAACUGGAUUUUCUUUCACCAUGUAAACGGGGUUACCAUAUCAGGUGGAAUUCUUGACGGCCAAGGCACGGCCUUGUGGGCUUGCAAGGCCUCUCAUGGCGAGAGUUGUCCCAGCGGAGCAACGGUAAUUAAUUCACUACUUUAAAUAUCAUAUUCAUGACACCAUUAAAUAUCAAAUUCAUGACACCAUUAUUUUGUGCUUCAUUAUUAGUGAGAAUUUUAAAGGUCAACGUACGUACAAUUUGCUUUAUUAUUUGCUACCAAUUGAAUUGAGGGUUUAUAAAAUAAGUUCAAACUCCACAGAACGUAAUCAAAUGGACAUGAUAAAUUGUACCACAAGUUUAGCUUGAUCAAGUAAUUUCGUAAUAUGUGCAGACUUUGGGUUUUUCCGACUCAAACAACAUCGUGGUGAGUGGAUUGGCAUCCCUAAACAGCCAAAUGUUCCAUAUAGUCAUCAACGACUGCCAAAAUGUGCAAAUGCAAGGUGUCAGGGUUUCUGCUUCCGGUAAUAGCCCUAACACCGAUGGCAUUCAUGUCCAAAUGUCAUCUGGUGUCACAAUCCUCAACUCCAAGAUUGCAACCGGUGACGAUUGUGUCUCAAUUGGCCCCGGAACCUCAAAUUUGUGGAUAGAAGGCGUUGCUUGUGGACCUGGCCAUGGAAUUAGGUACGACAUCAAAAUUAUAUAUUUAUCCAUGAUUGAUUAAACUAGCUAAAUGCAUACUAUUUCAUAAUAUAUGUUAUAAUGUAUAUCUUUUUUCUUCAUUGCUUAAUGACAUUUGAACUUAGGACAUCUUUCAAUAAAGUGGAGAUUAAUUGAUUGCUAGUAGAGAUUCAUUGCCUACAAAAAGUAUAUCUUUCUUUUGGGUGGAUGUUCUAGUUGUAAAUUUAACAUUGCUUUACUUGAUGGUUCAGCAUUGGAAGUCUAGGCAAGGAGCAAGAAGAGGCCGGUGUACAAAAUGUAACAGUUAAAACGGUUACCUUUAGUGGUACUCAGAAUGGUCUAAGAAUCAAGUCAUGGGGGAGGCCAAGCACUGGGUUUGCUAGAAAUAUUCUUUUCCAACAUGCUACAAUGGUCAAUGUCGAAAAUCCUAUUGUCAUAGAUCAACAUUAUUGCCCCGACAACAAAGGGUGCCCUGGUCAGGUAAGAUAUCAUUCAUGCUCUAAAAAUCAGUUCCCAAAGUUUAAUAUUACAACUCAAUUUUCUCUUCUUCACAUUGAUAAAAACGUUGGCAUCACCAAAUUAUAACUGUCUAAGUUCGAAACAUAUCAAAAGCUUUCUUGGGCUUCCACCUAGAAGAGCCAAUAAUUUUAGGCCCAAAGCAAAUCCAAUAACUCCUUCCUCCAUGGGCUUGCUCUCCUACUACUUACAAAGAUCGAGCCUUGCUCAUUGUAACCUUUGUAACUUAUUAAUGGAAUUGAGGGUUGUAGCUCAAGUGGUUAACAACAUUUACUCUGGUAUUCGAAGUCCUAGAUUUAAUUCCCCUCUUUUCCAAUACCAUUUUUAUCAAAAUGACUUCAUCGUAGCUUAGCCAAAAAAGCAUUGAAUCCCAUUAAGCCGAAUUCCCAUGCUAUAAUACUUGUUCACCUUCUGUUUUAUCAAAAGCUGGAAAUCUGACUUCGUAUUGUUUUUUUUUUCUUUUGUCAAUUUUGUUUUUCAAUAGGUUUCCGGAGUUCAAAUUAGCGAUGUGACAUACGAAGACAUACACGGUACAUCAGCAACAGAAGUUGCAGUAAAAUUUGAUUGCAGUCCCAAGCACCCUUGCAGCGAGAUCAAAUUGGAGGAUGUGAAGCUUACUUACAAGAACCAAGCAGCUGAGUCUUCAUGUAGCCAUGCAGAUGGAACAACUGAGGGUGUGGUUCAGCCUACAAGUUGUUUGUAGAGUGGAAAAAUAUGAACUGCUUGUAGAAGUAUUGAAAUCCAAAAGUUUGCCCUCCAGUACUAAGGACAAAU